UUAGUUGCCAUCAUUUAGUUGGGCACUCGAAGGUGACUGCCGGUGACAAACCGGAGGAAGGUGGGGAUGACGUCAAAUCAUCAUGCCCCUUAUGACCUGGGCUACACACGUGCUACAAUGGACGGUACAAAGAGCUGCAAGACCGCGAGGUGGAGCUAAUCUCAUAAAACCGUUCUCAGUUCGGAUUGUAGGCUGCAACUCGCCUACAUGAAGCUGGAAUCGCUAGUAAUCGCGGAUCAGCAUGCCGCGGUGAAUACGUUCCCGGGCCUUGUACACACCGCCCGUCACACC
rnacentral:rRNA from 1 species